rnacentral:rRNA from 1 species
GUGGGGAAUCUUGCGCAAUGGGCGAAAGCCUGACGCAGCCAUGCCGCGUGGAUGAUGAAGGUCUUAGGAUUGCAAAAUCCUUUCACCGGUGAAGAUAAUGACUGUAGCCGGAGAAGAAGCCCCGGCUAACUUCGUGCCAGCAGCCGCGGUAAUACGAAGGGGGCUAGCGUUGCUCGGAUUUACUGGGCGUAAAGGGCGCGUAGGCGGACAUUUAAGUCAGGGGUGAAAUCCCGGGGCUCAACCUCGGAACUGCCUUUGAUACUGGGUGUCUUGAGUAUGAGAGAGGUGUGUGGAACUCCGAGUGUAGAGGUGAAAUUCGUAGAUAUUCGGAAGAACACCAGUGGCGAAGGCGACACACUGGCUCAUUACUGACGCUGAGGCGCGAAAGCGUGGGGAGCAAACAGGAUUAGAUACCCUUGUAGUCC